CCUACGGGCGGCAGCAGUGGGGGAUAUUGCACAAUGGGGGAAACCCUGAUGCAGCGACGCCGCGUGUGGGAAGACGGUCCUCUGGAUUGUAAACCACUGUUCUCAGGGACGAAAGUGACGGUACCUGGGGAGGAAGCUUCGGCUAACUACGUGCCAGCAGCCGCGGUAAUACGUAGGGAGCGAGCGUUGUCCGGAAUUACUGGGUGUAAAGGGAGCGUUGGCGGGGAUGCAAGUUGGGUGUCAAAACUACCGGCUAAACUGGUAGUCGCACUCGAAACUGCAGCUCUUGAGUGAAGUCGAGGCAGGCGGAAUUCGUGGUGUAGCGGUGAAAUGCGUAGAUAUUAGGAGGAACACCAGUGGCGAAGGCGGCCUGCUGGGCUUUUACUGACGCUGAGGCUCGAAAGUGUGGGGAGCAAACAGGAUUAGAUACCCCUGUAGUC
rnacentral:rRNA from 1 species